rfam:Thiorhodococcus drewsii AZ1 ctg170, whole genome shotgun sequence.
AGAGUCCCGCCUGGAUAAUCGUGCGCCGCAAGCAGAGUAUCGAGCCUUGCGUGAUGGUCGGCAACCGUAGGCACAAAAGCAGGUGAGCUGGAAAGGUAGCGGGUGGAGCCGGCCUUGAAGGGAUUGAGCCCCGAAAAGCCACGUUGGGAGUACCCAGGGCGUUUCAGAUCCCGUAUGCGACACUGCGCCUGGUGUGCUGGCGCCUCACGUGGAGACUCCCUGGGGUCUGAGACCG